GGCCCUAGUGGACAUGGCAUCUGCCCGGUAAGCGGAACACUGUGGGUUCGAUUCCCAUCCCUGGACA